ensembl:lncRNA
GAAAAAGUCAGAGUUGAGACCCCAGGUGGCUCAGACCUGGCAGGGACAGGCAGCAGCCUGGAGGUCAGCGUGGCUGCAGCAGAGAGCAGGAGGGGACAGGUGGAAGACGACAGCAGGAGAGACAUGUAGCCUGUGAGGCCUGCAGGCCAUUGCUAGGACCUUUGACACUGGCAGAAGGCAACUGACCACACAAAUCCAAGGAGAGAUGAGGCUGGCUUGCAAAGAACAGAGAGCAGAAACGGCACGAGGGGAACGUGGAAACCGAGACUCAGCUUUCCUAAGGCGCCGCCCCUCCCCCUCCGCCCGCCUGGAAAACGGAAGCGGUAUGGGCGGCAGGGAGGGGCCAGGGCUCCUCAGGCACUAAAGUGAAGAACCAAGGCGAGGCCUCCGCUGAGGCUGGGGGAACACAGGGUUGGUGAUACGAAGUCUUUAGCUUCAGCUGGACCGGUUUUCCAGGCGAGUCAGUGGACCCCCACCUGGGUGUCCUCAGGCAGGGGUAGCCCAGACCGCAUCCAUGCCCCGCACGGAUCCAAGAGAACAAGUUGCAAGAAGCCUGAUAAACAAGAUUGACAGACACCCCAGCGACAGAAUGAACGUUUGGACCUCUUGUAACAGACAAAAGAUGAACAUGGCUAAUAAAAGAGCUCCUUAUAGAGAUGUAUAACUGAA